GAGAGGUGUCAGGCAGGCUGGGAGUCUUCAGCCUCCUCCAGCUUCGGUGGGGACUCCGUGCUGCCCUCCUCCCAACUGGCAAGCGACGGACUCAAGCUUCUCUGCUUUGUUUCCUGUCUCGUCUUCAAUGACUGAAAAGCAAAGCCAGUUCAGUCUCAGAGGCAGGCAUCUGGUGUGCCUAGGGCUGGAAUCUCGUCACUUUUCCUCAUGGAUCCCAGUGGCUGCUGUGGCACCAGCUGCCUCUUCCAAAUCACUACAUCCUAACCAGGCAGGGUCUCAUCUUUUAUUGAUUGUGACUAUUUCAUAGGCAUAUCAGCAGCACAGCCCCGGCCCUGUCUCCCCCUCCCCCAAUGUGUCCUGGUGACCUGGGCUUGCUUGCCCAUCUCUCUGGUCUCCUCAGUGAAUAAGGCUGUGGAGUAACCCCUCCCUGAGCCUGUCUCCUGGCCACUGGGUCUCCUCUCUCAACCCCACCGCCUUUAAGCUUCUCAAAUAACCUCCCCCCUGCUGAGACGGGCCCAAUCCAGGGUGUUCAGGCCCAUGAGGUCUUCUAAGCCCUUGUAGGGGGCCAGGGUAUGUCAGCCUGCCUGUUGGCGCCUGAGGAAGACCCUCAACCCAAUCAGGGACACAGUUGUUUUUUUCCUUGACUCAAAAAGUAGCACUCAGCCCAUUAAUGCCAUGGCCUCCACCCCGGAGCCACCCAGCCACCCCUUCCCCAAGCCCACACCCACAGUGCCCACAAAUCCCUCUGGCUCUGUCUUCCUGGGUUAUGGAAAUCCCCUACAGUUCCCCCACGCUGGCUGCCUCACCUGGUUGGCCUUCAAGGCUCGUCUCUCCCAGGCCAGCCUGCAGCUGGUCUCCCGGCCUCCUUCCUUUCCGUCCAUGGCUCACCCUCUCAGUCCCAGGGCUCUUCAUCGGUCCAGGCUGGUCCUCUCACCAUCGGGCUCCGGUCCUGCCAUGGCUCCCACCUUCCCUGGGGAGAAGCUGUCCCAGGAAGGGCCCUGGGCCCUGCCUCCUACCUCAUCCUCAGACUCAUCAUUUCCUGGACCCCCCCCCCCUGCCCCUGGCCUCUGCCCCUGCUGUGGGUCUGCUUAGAAGAUGUUUUCUGGAUCCUCCCAUGACCCUCACAUGCAUGUGCGCCGAGGUCACCCUGAAACAGCCCCGUCAUGCUCUAUGCCCACCCUGGUCUGUUUCCCCGACGCCCCUGCCUCCUGUAUGCAUGGUACCUGUUCUCCCAAGUCCGUAUCCUCAGACUGAACCAGCUGCUGUGGGACUGUGUGGAAACGAAGUGGCCAGUGCUGACAUCUGAGGACACGCUCCUUGUCACUGUCCAGUACCACGCGGUGUAGUUCCACACAGCACUGACACUGAGCCAGACAGCAGAAAUCACCUAUCGGGGAAUUAAAGGGCUCGACAAAG